AUUCUCUUCGGAGUUGACGAUAAUGGAAUGAGCGGCGGACGGGUGAGUAACACGUAGGCAACCUGCCUGUAAGACUGGGAUAACUCGUGGAAACGCGAGCUAAUACCGGAUAACACUUUUCAUCUCCUGGUGAGAAGUUGAAAGGCGGCUUUUGCUGUCACUUACAGAUGGGCCUGCGGCGCAUUAGCUAGUUGGUAAGGUAACGGCUUACCAAGGCGACGAUGCGUAGCCGACCUGAGAGGGUGAUCGGCCACACUGGGACUGAGACACGGCCCAGACUCCUACGGGAGGCAGCAGUAGGGAAUCUUCCGCAAUGGACGAAAGUCUGACGGAGCAACGCCGCGUGAGUGAUGAAGGUUUUCGGAUCGUAAAACUCUGUUGUUAGGGAAGAACAAGUACUAUAGUAACUGAUGGUACCUUGACGGUACCUAACCAGAAAGCCACGGCUAACUACGUGCCAGCAGCCGCGGUAAUACGUAGGUGGCAAGCGUUGUCCGGAAUUAUUGGGCGUAAAGCGCUCGCAGGCGGUUCUUUAAGUCUGAUGUGAAAUC
rnacentral:rRNA from 1 species